AGUACAGACGAGUUUGAUCAUGGCUCAGAGCGAACGCUAGCGCGAGCUUAACACAUGCAAGUCGAGCGGAGGGUUUCGGCCCUCUAGCGGCGGACGGGUGAGUAACACGUAGGUUAACGUGCCCUUUGGUGGGGAAUAACUUAGGGAAACCUGAGCUAAUACCGCAUAUGCCCUUCGGGGUGAAAGUCUUCGGACGCCAGAGGAUCGGCCUGCGGCCCAUUAUUUAAAUCCUUGUUGUGGGGUAACGGCCUACCAAGGGUACGAUGGGUAGCUGGUCUGAGAGGAUGAUCAGCCACACUGGGACUGAGACACGGCCCAGACUCCUACGGGAGGCAGCAGUGGGGAAUAUUGGACAAUGGGGAAACCCUGAUCCAGCUACGCCGCGUGGGUGAUGAAGGCCUUCGGGUUGUAAAGCCCUGUCGAGGGGGACGAAGUUCUGACGGUACCCCUCAAGAAAGCACCGGCUAACUCCGUG
rnacentral:rRNA from 1 species